rnacentral:rRNA from 1 species
AUGCACUUCCAUGACAGAGACAACUUGGAAAGAUCAGUUUGCGUUUCAGACAUAACAUAUUAUAAUUUGGUUGCCCUAAUAGAGAUAGAGGGAUAUGGGCUGAAUGAUUUCAUAUAUUUUGUGAGGGAUCCUGGUGUGGGGAUUACAGGAAUGGAUGAAAUUUGUGAUGAUAAUAAGGUGUAUGAAAUGCUUGACCAUAUUGCUAACAAUGAUCAGAAUGUAGUGAACUUGACAGUGGUUAGGGGCACUAAUCCAAGACCUGCAGAUUUGAACUCAGGCUAUCUGGUUGAGGAGCAGGUUCCUUUGAGCCAUAUAGGAGAGAACCCUGUGUAUGUAGUAAAUCCUGCUGGUGUUCUCCUAAGGUCACCAAUAAAAAGUAAAAUACAGAGUCGGCUAGAGCCAUUGCAGUUCUACACCACACAGCAGAGCACAAACCAUGAUAUGGACACAUAUGCUGCCAUGGAUCAAUGCAAUGCAGCAGAUCAGGAUGAACUGGAGACAUUAAUGGAGUUGAAGAGGAGAACAAAGAUUGCCAAAUUUAGGAAACAUAAGAUUGCAGCUGAGCAUGUAAAUAAGGUUAAGCAGAAGCUACCAAUUCUUCUAACUGGAGAUGAUUCAGAUCUGGAUGGAGAUGAGGACUAUCUUCAGAGGCUUAAUGAGAUGAGGAAGCAAAGAGAGGAUCCACUCAUUCAUUUUGAUGGAGACACUGAUGUGGAUGAAGUGUAUGAGGAAGAUGAGGAAGGGCAGCAUGUGGAGGUGGAGCAAGAGGAGCAGGUGGAGCAGCAAGAGGUGCCUACAAAAAAGAAGAAAGCUAGAAAAGGGCCAACAGAGAGGAAUAUGAUGAUGGAGUUGAGGAAGUGCAAUUUGUUCUGCCCAAUGGAAAGAAGAGCAGAUUAG